rnacentral:lncRNA from 1 species
AGACUUUGCGAGGCGCCUCCGUGUGCCAAAAAUAGGCCGCGGGCACAGCCGCGCCCAAAAAUAACCGCCCGAAGGCCGGGGCGCCAAGUUUGUCCAGCGGAAAAAGGCCACAAAAACGGGUGGGCUAUAGCCUUGGGGGGUGGGGCUGGCCAACUUCGUCCGCCGGACUGGGAAUGGCGCGAGAGUUUGCGAGGCACCUCCGUGUGCCAAAAAUAGGCCGCGGGCACAGCCGCGCCCAAAAAUAACCGCCCGAAGGCCGGGGCGCCAAGUUCGUCCAGCGGAAAAAGGCCACAAAAACGGGUGGGCUGUAGCCUUGGGGGGUGGGGCUGGCCAACUUCGUCCGCCGGACUCGGAAGGGCGCGUGACUUUGCGAGGCGCCUCCGUGUGUAAAAAAUAGGCCGCGGACACAGCCGCGGCCAAAAAUAACCGCCCGAAAGCCGGGGCGCCACGUUUGUCCUGCGGAAAAAGGCCACAAAUACGGGUGGGCUAUAGCCUUGGGGGGUGGGGCUGGCCAACUUCGUCCGCCGGACUCGGAAUGGCGCGAGACUUUGCGAGGCGCCUCCGUGUGCCAAAAAUUGGCCGCGGGCACAGCCGCGCCCAAAAAUAACAGCUUUAAGGCCGGGGCAGCAAGUGUGUCCUGCGGAAAAAGGCCACAAAUACGGGUGGGCUAUAGCCUUGGGGGGUGGGGCUGGCCAACUUCGCCCGCCGGACUCGGAAGGGCGUGGGACUUUGCGAGUCGCCUCCGUGUGCCAAAAAUAGGCCGCGGGAACAGCCGUGCCCAAAAAUAACCACCCGAAGGCCGGGGCGCCAAGUUCGUCCAGCGGAAAAAGGCCACAAAUACGGGU